GUGGGAUUGCAGGGAAUUUUAUGGGGAUAGCAACAAGGAUAGAUACGGAAGGUAUUGGUGAUUCAGAAUAGGAGUAACUGAGUUACAUACUAGGAGAAGUUUACUCUACCGUUUAGCCUUGCAUUUGGCACUUAGCUGCAGCUAUGAUAGCUGAUAUUAUUGCACCCAUGAAGGUGCAGACAGGGAGAACUAGGAGAAGUUUACUAUUUAACCUAGCAUUUGGCAUGUAG